rnacentral:lncRNA from 1 species
AAAAUUUGCCGAAACAGCGCGGCUAUUAUUUGUAUCAUAACCUGUAACGAUGAGUUACUACUAUCGUUACUAAAAUGUUAUUCCGAUGGGAACUAGGUAUGCAACCAACUUUACAAGCACUCGUAUUAGAGGUUGCAGUUGAUAGACGAUAAAGUUGGUAAUAUCUGGUAGAUUAGAGUCUAGCAGUUGGCAAUGACGAUAUCCGGCAGGGGUGUAUGUCAUAUCGGCCAUAGCGGCUGGCACUUUACUUGAAUUUUCGUUCUUGUCCGAUCAAGAAGUCCUCCGGUGGCCAUUGUAAGAAUUUACCUUUUGGUUGAAAUAAGUUAUAAGAAGAUUAAUUUACGUUGGAGGAAGUUUUUAUUUUUUUGUUUGGGGUUGUGAAGAGUUUUUGGUUCCAAUAUUUUUUGAAGAAAACAAUGGCCACUGGAGGGAGACUAUAACAAAAUUUAAGUCACAUUUGGAUGCUUCAUUUAUUUAUGGAAUAAACAAUCAUUUUGGUAUUAUUUUGGGUUUGGAUUGGAAGAGUUUUGGAUGUUUUUUU